UACAGAGGUCUCAAGCGUUGUUCGGAUUCAUUGGGCGUAAAGAGCUCGUAGGCGGUGUGUCGCGUCGGCCGUGAAAACCUGGGGCUUAACCCCGGGCCUGCAGUGGGUACGGGCAGACUAGAGUGUGGUAGGGGAGACUGGAAUUCCUGGUGUAGCGGUGAAAUGCGCAGAUAUCUGGAGGAACACCGGUGGCGAAGGCGGCAUCCUGGACCGGUAUUGACGCUGAGGCGCGAAAGCUAGGGGAGCAAACGGG
rnacentral:rRNA from 1 species